AUAGGGGGAUAAAGUGUGCCACGUGUGGCAUAUUGCAGGUACCCUAUGAAUAAGGACCGGCUAAUUCCGUGCCAGCAGCCGCGGUAAUACGGAAGGUCCGGGCGUUAUCCGGAUUUAUUGGGUUUAAAGGGAGCGUAGGCCGUUUGGUAAGCGUGUUGUGAAAUGUCGGGGCUCAACCUGGGCAUUGCAGCGCGAACUGUCAGACUUGAGUGCGCAGGAAGUAGGCGGAAUUCGUCGUGUAGCGGUGAAAUGCUUAGAUAUGACGAAGAACUCCGAUUGCGAAGGCAGCCUGCUGUAGCGCAACUGACGCUGAAGCUCGAAAGCGUGGGUAUCGAACAGGAUUAGAUACCCUGGUAGUCCACGCGGUAAACGAUGGAUGCUCGCUGUUUGCGUCUGACGUAAGCGGCCAAGCGAAAGCGUUAAGCAUCCCACCUGGGGAGUACGCCGGCAACGGUGAAACUCAAAGGAAUUGACGGGGGCCCGCACAAGCGGAGGAACAUGUGGUUUAAUUCGAUGAUACGCGAGGAACCUUACCCGGGCUUGAACUGUAGGUGAACGAUUCAGAGAUGAUGAGGCCCUUCGGGGCGCCUAUGGAGGUGCUGCAUGGUUGUCGUCAGCUCGUGCCGUGAGGUGUCGGCUUAAGUGCCAUAACGAGCGCAACCCUUGUUCGUAGUUGCCAUCGGGUUAAGCCGGGCACUCUGCGAAGACUGCCUCCGUAAGGAGUGAGGAAGGUGGGGAUGACGUCAAAUCAGCACGGCCCUUACGU
rnacentral:rRNA from 1 species